rnacentral:rRNA from 1 species
UACGGAAGGCAGCAGUGGGGAAUAUUGCACAAUGGGCGCAAGCCUGAUGCAGCCAUGCCGCGUGUAUGAAGAAGGCCUUCGGGUUGUAAAGUACUUUCAGUCGUGAGGAAGGUGUUAAGGUUAAUAACCUUAGCAAUUGACGUUAGCGACAGAAGAAGCACCGGCUAACUCCGUGCCAGCAGCCGCGGUAAUACGGAGGGUGCGAGCGUUAAUCGGAAUUACUGGGCGUAAAGGGCACGCAGGCGGUUAAUAAGUUGGAUGUGAAAUCCCCGGGCUUAACCUGGGAAUGGCAUUCAAGACUGGUUAGCUAGAGUCUUGUAGAGGGGGUAGAAUUCCAUGUGUAGCGGUGAAAUGCGUAGAGAUGUGGAGGAAUACCGGGUGGCGAAGGCGGCCCCUGGGACAAAGGACUGACGCUCAUGUGCGAAAGCGUGGGGAGCGAAACAGGGAUUAGAUACC